GAUGAACGCUGGCGGCGUGCCUAAUACAUGCAAGUCGAGCGAACAGACGGGGAGCUUGCUCCUCUGAUGUUAGCGGCGGACGGGUGAGUAACACGUGGAUAACCUACCUAUAAGACUGGGAUAACUUCGGGAAACCGGAGCUAAUACCGGAUAACAUGUUGAACCGCAUGGUUCAGCAGUGAAAGACGGUCUUGCUGUCACUUAUAGAUGGAUCCGCGCCGCAUUAGCUAGUUGGUAAGGUAACGGCUUACCAAGGCAACGAUGCGUAGCCGACCUGAGAGGGUGAUCGGCCACACUGGAACUGAGACACGGUCCAGACUCCUACGGGAGGCAGCAGUAGGGAAUCUUCCGCAAUGGGCGAAAGCCUGACGGAGCAACGCCGCGUGAGUGAAGAAGGUCUUCGGAUCGUAAAACUCUGUUAUUAGGGAAGAGCAAAUGUGUAAGUAACUAUGCACGUCUUGACGGUACCUAAUCAGAAAGCCACGGCUAACUACGUG
rnacentral:rRNA from 1 species